UUUUAGGGAACACUGGACACAAAAUGUAAGGCCCAGUUAGCUUGAUGGGCUCUAUACAUUCUCAUUUCAGAUUUCUUUCCGUUCCUGAAGAGCCUGUCCUGCAACCCGAUUUACAUGCUGUUCACCCUUAUAAGUGUGCUCCAGGUCAAUGCAUUUAACAUUUACUUUAGCUUCCUGCCUAAGUACCUUGAAAACCAAUAUGGAAAAUCCACUGCAGAGGUCAUCUUCCUCAUGGGUGUUUAUAACUUACCUGCAAUAUGCAUUGGAUAUUUAAUUGCUGGCUUCAUGAUGAAGAAAUUCAAGAUCACUGUCAAGACAGCUGCAUUCCUCGCAUUCUGCCUAUCCUUGUCUGAAUAUAGUUUUGGUUUCUGUAACUUCCUAAUUACCUGUGAUAAUGUCCCAGUUGCUGGUUUGACUAACUCUUAUGAAAGAGAUCAGAAACCUCUAUACUUGGAAAAUAAUGUUCUUGCUGACUGCAACACAAGGUGCAGCUGCUUGACGAAAACAUGGGAUCCAGUGUGUGGAGACAAUGGCCUAGCAUACAUGUCAGCCUGCCUCGCAGGCUGCGAGAAGUCUGUUGGAACUGGAACCAACAUGGUGUUUCACAAUUGCAGCUGCAUUCAGUCACCAGGAAACUCGUCCGCAGUCCUGGGGCUGUGUAAUAAAGGCCCCGAGUGCACCAACAAGCUGCAGUACCUUUUAAUACUAUCAGGAUUUCUCAGUAUCCUCUACUCAU
rnacentral:lncRNA from 1 species